rnacentral:rRNA from 1 species
UAACCGGCGAUUUCCGAAUGGGGAAACCCAGUGUGUUUCGACACACUAUCAUUAACUGAAUCCAUAGGUUAAUGAGGCGAACCGGGGGAACUGAAACAUCUAAGUACCCCGAGGAAAAGAAAUCAACCGAGAUUCCCCCAGUAGCGGCGAGCGAACGGGGAGGAGCCCAGAGCCUGAAUCAGUGUGUGUGUUAGUGGAAGCGUCUGGAAAGGCGCGCGAUACAGGGUGACAGCCCCGUACACAAAAAUGCACAUGCUGUGAGCUCGAUGAGUAGGGCGGGACACGUGGUAUCCUGUCUGAAUAUGGGGGGACCAUCCUCCAAGGCUAAAUACUCCUGACUGACCGAUAGUGAACCAGUACCGUGAGGGAAAGGCGAAAAGAACCCCGGCGAGGGGAGUGAAAAAGAACCUGAAACCGUGUACGUACAAGCAGUGGGAGCACGCUUAGGCGUGUGACUGCGUACCUUUUGUAUAAUGGGUCAGCGACUUAUAUUCUGUAGCAAGGUUAACCGAAUAGGGGAGCCGAAGGGAAACCGAGUCUUAACUGGGCGUUAAGUUGCAGGGUAUAGACCCGAAACCCGGUGAUCUAGCCAUGGGCAGGUUGAAGGUUGGGUAACACUAACUGGAGGACCGAACCGACUAAUGUUGAAAAAUUAGCGGAUGACUUGUGGCUGGGGGUGAAAGGCCAAUCAAACCGGGAGAUAGCUGGUUCUCCCCGAAAGCUAUUUAGGUAGCGCCUCGUGAAUUCAUCUCCGGGGGUAGAGCACUGUUUCGGCAAGGGGGUCAUCCCGACUUACCAACCCGAUGCAAACUGCGAAUACCGGAGAAUGUUAUCACGGGAGACACACGGCGGGUGCUAACGUCCGUCGUGAAGAGGGAAACAACCCAGACCGCCAGCUAAGGUCCCAAAGUCAUGGUUAAGUGGGAAACGAUGUGGGAAGGCCCAGACAGCCAGGAUGUUGGCUUAGAAGCAGCCAUCAUUUAAAGAAAGCGUAAUAGCUCACUGGUCGAGUCGGCCUGCGCGGAAGAUGUAACGGGGCUAAACCAUGCACCGAAGCUGCGGCAGCGACGCUUAUGCGUUGUUGGGUAGGGGAGCGUUCUGUAAGCCUGUGAAGGUGUGCUGUGAGGCAUGCUGGAGGUAUCAGAAGUGCGAAUGCUGACAUAAGUAACGAUAAAGCGGGUGAAAAGCCCGCUCGCCGGAAGACCAAGGGUUCCUGUCCAACGUUAAUCGGGGCAGGGUGAGUCGACCCCUAAGGCGAGGCCGAAAGGCGUAGUCGAUGGGAAACAGGUUAAUAUUCCUGUACUUGGUGUUACUGCGAAGGGGGGACGGAGAAGGCUAUGUUGGCCGGGCGACGGUUGUCCCGGUUUAAGCGUGUAGGCUGGUUUUCCAGGCAAAUCCGGAAAAUCAAGGCUGAGGCGUGAUGACGAGGCACUACGGUGCUGAAGCAACAAAUGCCCUGCUUCCAGGAAAAGCCUCUAAGCAUCAGGUAACAUCAAAUCGUACCCCAAACCGACACAGGUGGUCAGGUAGAGAAUACCAAGGCGCUUGAGAGAACUCGGGUGAAGGAACUAGGCAAAAUGGUGCCGUAACUUCGGGAGAAGGCACGCUGAUACGUAGGUGAAGUCCCUCGCGGAUGGAGCUGAAAUCAGUCGAAGAUACCAGCUGGCUGCAACUGUUUAUUAAAAACACAGCACUGUGCAAACACGAAAGUGGACGUAUACGGUGUGACGCCUGCCCGGUGCCGGAAGGUUAAUUGAUGGGGUCAGCGCAAGCGAAGCUCUUGAUCGAAGCCCCGGUAAACGGCGGCCGUAACUAUAACGGUCCUAAGGUAGCGAAAUUCCUUGUCGGGUAAGUUCCGACCUGCACGAAUGGCGUAAUGAUGGCCAGGCUGUCUCCACCCGAGACUCAGUGAAAUUGAACUCGCUGUGAAGAUGCAGUGUACCCGCGGCAAGACGGAAAGACCCCGUGAACCUUUACUAUAGCUUGACACUGAACAUUGAGCCUUGAUGUGUAGGAUAGGUGGGAGGCUUUGAAGUGUGGACGCCAGUCUGCAUGGAGCCGACCUUGAAAUACCACCCUUUAAUGUUUGAUGUUCUAACGUUGACCCGUGAUCCGGGUUGCGGACAGUGUCUGGUGGGUAGUUUGACUGGGGCGGUCUCCUCCUAAAGAGUAACGGAGGAGCACGAAGGUUGGCUAAUCCUGGUCGGACAUCAGGAGGUUAGUGCAAUGGCAUAAGCCAGCUUGACUGCGAGCGUGACGGCGCGAGCAGGUGCGAAAGCAGGUCAUAGUGAUCCGGUGGUUCUGAAUGGAAGGGCCAUCGCUCAACGGAUAAAAGGUACUCCGGGGAUAACAGGCUGAUACCGCCCAAGAGUUCAUAUCGACGGCGGUGUUUGGCACCUCGAUGUCGGCUCAUCACAUCCUGGGGCUGAAGUAGGUCCCAAGGGUAUGGCUGUUCGCCAUUUAAAGUGGUACGCGAGCUGGGUUUAGAACGUCGUGAGACAGUUCGGUCCCUAUCUGCCGUGGGCGCUGGAGAACUGAGGGGGGCUGCUCCUAGUACGAGAGGACCGGAGUGGACGCAUCACUGGUGUUCGGGUUGUCAUGCCAAUGGCACUGCCCGGUAGCUAAAUGCGGAAGAGAUAAGUGCUGAAAGCAUCUAAGCACGAAACUUGCCCCGAGAUGAGUUCUCCCU